CCUAAUUUCACUGCCUCACCGCCAUUCACCACCACACUUCCCCUUUUUACCAUCAGCAGCCACCAAACCCCCAUUUUCCUUUCCCUCCACACCGCAGCACACACACACACAUGGACCUCCCUCUCGACACCCACACUCAGCCUCACACACCUCCCUCACCCUCUAUUGUUGCGCCAUCCUACACACAGAGAGAGAGAGAGAGAAACAGAGGAGAAUCGCCGGCAGAAGGAGAGGUCAUCGCCGCUGUCGAAUCGUCGAGUCAUCGCGCCUUGCCACCGCGUAGCCGCCAAACUGCAUGCAUCGUCGCCGCAGUUGGAGGAAGCCCGUAUCGCCGUCUUUCUCGCCGUUGCCAGAGAAGCCCGAGGAGACGGGGAGACAGAACACGAAGGAUGCCAUCCGCGUCACUUCUUCGUAUAUUUUGUUCCGUCUUUUGCAUGCUGAUUCCCUUUUGUUGGUUUUCUGCGCUUGUCAAAGUUCAAACCUUUCUCUGAUUUGGAUGGAUCUAGUUCCAGUUUCUCAGAAUUUGGUCUUCUGGGGUGUCGAGGAUACUUGAACGUCACUGAUUCUACUUCAAAGGUGCUGAGCUUUCAAAUGGUAAAGUGGCUGAAACAAAAGUUCUCGAGCGUUGAGAAGAAAGAAUAGUAAUACCAGAAACAAUCUAUCCUGGCAGAGUCUAAGUUGUAUUGCUCUCACGAUUGUGGAACAAUUCUGUUAAUAGUGUCUACUUAGUGUUAGCGUAUAUAUCACUGUAUAAAACUAAGAUUGAGAUAAGUGUAUUCACUCAACUAUAUUGAUAUGUUAGCUGGUUACUUUAAUUACAACUUAUCUUAAUUGUUGAU